CACCCUCCUAAAGCAACAUAUGGGAACCAGGGGAGUCAUUGGGGAUAAGUGGUCUAUGAGGGUUCUGUGGCUCUGUGCAAUUGGAAGUGCGGCCUGUACAUGGUCGCCGUAGAAAGACAAACACAGAACAGGAAUCGCAUGUUGGCUGAGAAUUUGAAGGCUAUGGAAAGUGAAGGAAGUACC